rnacentral:rRNA from 1 species
AACGCUAGCUACAGGCUUAACACAUGCAAGUCGAGGGGUAACGAGAGGGAAGCUUGCUUUCCUUGUCGACGACCGGCGCACGGGUGAGUAACGCGUAUCCAACCUGCCCAUUACCACGGGAUACCCCGUCGAAAGGCGGCCUAAUACCGUAUGCAGUCGUCAGAUGACAUCAGAGGACGACGAAAGGAUUGGCGGUAAUGGAUGGGGAUGCGUCUGAUUAGGUAGUUGGAGGGGUAACGGCCCACCAAGCCAUCGAUCAGUAGGGGUUCUGAGAGGAAGGUCCCCCACAUUGGAACUGAGACACGGUCCAAACUCCUACGGGAGGCAGCAGUGAGGAAUAUUGGUCAAUGGGCGCGAGCCUGAACCAGCCAAGUAGCGUGAGGGAUGACGGUCCUAUGGGUUGUAAACCUCUUUUAUGCGGGAAUAAAAUGUUUGACGUGUCAUACAUUGUAGGUACCGCAAGAAUAAGGACCGGCUAAUUCCGUGCCAGCAGCCGCGGUAAUACGGAAGGUCCGGGCGUUAUCCGGAUUUAUUGGGUUUAAAGGGAGCGUAGGCCGCAAGUCAAGCGUGUUGUGAAAUGCAGGGGCUCAACCUCUGGAUUGCAGCGCGAACUGGCAUGCUUGAGUACGCACGAGGUAGGCGGAAUUUGUGGUGUAGCGGUGAAAUGCUUAGAUAUCACGAAGAACUCCGAUUG